rnacentral:rRNA from 1 species
CCUACGGGAGGCAGCAGUAGGGAAUCUUUCACAAUGGGCGAAAGCCUGAUGGAGCAACGCCGCGUGCAGGAUGAAGGCCUUCGGGUUGUAAACUGCUUUUAUAAGCGAGAAAUAUGAUGGUAACUUAUGAAUCAGGAUCGGCUAACUACGUGCCAGCAGCCGCGGUCCUACGUAGGAUCCGAGCAUUAUCCGGAGUGACUGGGUGUAAAGAGUUGCGUAGGUGGCAUAAUAAGUAGCUAGUGAAAUCUGGUGGCUCAACCAUUCAGACUAUUAGCUAAACUGUUAAGCUCGAGACCGUUAGGGGUAACUGGAAUUUCUAGUGUAGGAGUGAAAGCCGUAGAUAUUAGAAGGAACACCAAUAGCGUAGGCAGGUUACUGGGACGGGUCUGACACUAAGGCACGAAAGCGUAGGGAGCAAACGGGAUUAGAUACCCGGGUAGUC